GAAAGGUGUCUGGGCAAAAAACACUGAACGAAUUCACGCACUGUUCUCGAGUUCCCUCGGCGAAUGCACGUACAACGCCCAUUUCCAGCUCUGCGAGUCUCGCGUUGCAGUGCAGUGCUGCAAUAAGUUAUACAGCUAGCUAGCUAGCUAAUAGCUUAUACCGGCGACAACAUAGGGAAAUCCCCAAUGGUGAUUUGGCAGGAGGACAGUUAUGUAGAGCUACUUCCUUUUUUUUUUUUUUCAGACUCUUUUCAAUCGAUGUGGAUAUAGGCCACACUAUCUUGCAACUAUUCACUUCCAACUUGAGGCCUUAAUCUACGCCUGUCAUGAAUGUUCAUGAGUUCAUUUUGAAGUAAGCAAAGUGAUCGGCUGACUGCACUGGUCUACCACUGGAGUUCAACAGAAGAGACUAGUUGGAUCCAGCUGAUUCACCAUGUCUAAUGGACCUGGUCAAGCACAGGGCCAGGGAUCACCUAUAGUACCCUUGGAAGAGGCUAUAUCCAAUGUUGAUCUGUUAAGUGAUCUACCGACCCCUGACCCUCAACCUAUGAUCGAAGCUAAGACAAUAGCUCUGACCUACCAUGCAAACUUUGAUACUAAUUUUAGUGAUAGGACUGCUUUUAUUACUGGUAUUGCCAAGUUCAUGGAAGAAGCAACAGUGCAUUCAGAAAUGAACAACAUUCUGAAAGAAGGGGAGGAACAUGCAGUGAUGUUGUAUACAUGGAGGAGUUGUGCCAGAGCCGUACCUUCGGUAAGAUGCUGUAUUAUCAUUGGGCAAUGUCAUUGUUUCAGAAAUAAACCUUACAUGAAUGGUUGUUUUGGUAAUUACUUCCUUUCAGUUUCCUACAUACUUAUUUUCAAAUUGAAAAGCAAAUUAGUCCAGUCAUCAAAGGAAAUCUAUUAUUGUCCACUUGUUAUUACAUGAUGAGGAUCAUAGUAGAACAAACAUUUCAAGUUGAUACAAGUAGGAUUUUAUUGGUUUUUUUUUUUUUGGGGGGGGGUUAAAUGUAGGAUUUUAUUUAUUUAUUUAUUUUAUUUUAUUUUUUUUUGUUUGGGGGGGGGGGGGGGUUAAAUGGCAUAUAGUUUCUAUAUUUUUGGUUCUUAUUUGUUGCAGUCUUUUCUUUUCUCAAAUGAAGGUGGGCUCCCAAUCAUAUCAUUGUCAUGUUCUAUGAUUGUUUUGUCUUGCACUUAAAAAAGUGGUGGUUUAAAACCUUAUCUUUAUAGUGAACCAUAUGCAUAAUUUUGGCAACAGGAUGUAUACAUAGUUUUACAUGUAUAUAUGAUGACUCAUGAGUCAAUUAAAUGAUUUUGAUUGAUUUAAACUUGUUAAUGUUAUACUGAAAUAGCAUUGUGGCCCCUUUUUUUUGGGGGGGGGGGAUAUUUUUUAUAUUGAUGGACUUUAGUUUAUUUUGGUACAUGUCGAGUUGUUCUGUCUCACUUGAAAAUAGUUUUGUGUAAAAAAAAAUAGCCUACAUGAUAAAUACAAACCCCAUUAUGAUUUGAAGCCUAAAUGUAUGAAUCAGAAAUUUAUAGACCUACACAUUCAUUUAUGUUUUAUUAGGAAGGUUUGUUAAUGUUCAGAUGACUUUGAUAAAAGUUACUUAAAAAGAAAUAAAAAUCUACCAAGUAUAAAUGGCAAGCAUGGCUAAUACAAAAGUUGAAUAUUUUGGGUUUUACUUCCCAUGCAUGUUUACAAAAAAGAAAGAAAGAAUUUUUAUAAUCUCUCAAAAUCUCACAAAUAGGUAGAGCUCUACCCCCCCCCCCAGCAUGAAUAUUCAAUUUACAGCACACAGUGCUUGUUUUGAAUUAUUUGGUUGUAUAUUAAAGUAAAGAAUUGUUGACAUUUAAAGUAUUGUGAAACAUCUGCCCAUGUGAUUACAGGAUUAUUUUGUUGAUUAUUUUGUUGAUUAUUCAAUUAUUAAUGAGUUCAAUACACAACAUGUCCAGCAUACUGUACAUAGUUAAUAUAAUACUAAUGUUGAGCUGUGCAUGAAAACCAACGUCAUUGUUACAUGUAGUUACUCAGUAUCCCUCUAGUUUUGUGUUCCAAAAUAUUUAAAGUUCACUUGAUGGGUAGACUUUCCCUUUAAUAAUUUUGUACCAUAAAGUCCACCCCUUCUUUUGAGAUGAAAGACCUCUUUUCCUGGUUUCCACUGGGAUAGUAACUUGAGAUUGAACUUUACUGCCCCCAGCCAUUCCAAGAAUGCUCAUUGACUGUAUAAAUGUGACAGUCACACCAAUGAAUUUGAUUCUUCAAAGCUGUUAUAUGGUAUACAUGUAUCUUCAAUCAAUUUGGAGUCACAAUUGUUAGUGUGAUUGUAGCGUAAAGGUGGCUUUUUUAGGUAUCCACCCAGGUUUGUUUUAUCUUCCAAUUCUAUCAUGAUAGGCACUCAUCGGGAUUCAUCUAUAAAUUUAGAAUACUGUUAUGACAUCUUUCUGUAUGCCGUUAACCAUCCCAAAAUAAAAUACUGAAUGC